rnacentral:rRNA from 1 species
AGAGUUUGAUCAUGGCUCAGAUUGAACGCUGGCGGAAUGCUUUACACAUGCAAGUCGAGCGGCAGCGCGGGGCAACCUGGCGGCGAGCGGCGAACGGGUGAGUAAUGCAUCGGAACAUGUCCAUGUCGUGGGGGAUAGCCCGGCGAAAGCCGGAUUAAUACCGCAUACGCCCGAGAGGGGAAAGUGGGGGACCGCAAGGCCUCACGCGAUUGGGUUGGCCGAUGUCCGAUUAGCUAGUUGGUGGGGUAAAGGCCCACCAAGGCGAUGAUCGGUAGCUGGUCUGAGAGGAUGAUCAGCCACACUGGGACUGAGACACGGCCCAGACUCCUACGGGAGGCAGCAGUGGGGAAUUUUGGACAAUGGGGGCAACCCUGGUCCAGCCAUUCCGCGUGAGUGAAGGAGGCCUUCGGGUUGUAAAGCUCUUUUGUCCGGAACGAAACGGGUCGCGCCAAUACCGCGGCCUACUGACGGUACCGGAAGAAUAAGCACCGGCUAACUACGUGCCAGCAGCCGCGGUAAUACGUAGGGUGCGAGCGUUAAUCGGAAUUACUGGGCGUAAAGCGUGCGCAGGCGGUUUUGUAAGCCAGAUGUGAAAUCCCCGGGCUUAACCUGGGAAUGGCAUUUGGGACUGCAAGGCUGGAGUGCGGCAGAGGAGACUGGAAUUCCCGGUGUAGCAGUGAAAUGCGUAGAUAUCGGGAGGAAUACCGAUGGCGAAGGCAGGUCUCUGGGCUGACACUGACGCUCAUGCACGAAAGCGUGGGGAGCAAACAGGAUUAGAUACCCUGGUAGUCCACGCCCUAAACGAUGUCGA